CUAGUUCAGUGUGAAAAGACUGCAUGCAGUUGUCGUUUUCAGCGUGUUUUCUCUGCAAACAGCUCCUGAACAAGCUUUCUACCCUGCACCGGGACGAGACGAUGGACCCACCUCAGAUGUUUCUUUAUAAACGAUCCCUCUAAUCUGCCGGAGAUCACAAUACUCCAGCGUAUUUACACUCGCAGCAGCACACAGUCUGUUCUCUCCUGCACAAAUAUACAGCACCUCGAUUAAGAAAUAAUACAAUUUAGAAAGAGCGGGGUGUUUUAUUCUCUCAUGUUGGGGAAAUAUGCUCUCUAAUCCUCCAGUAUAAGGACCAUCUGUGUAAAUGUGGCUCUGGUGGGACGGGACAGUCACGAUUCUGACAUAUGAAUCCAGUGAUACGGAUGGUUACUGCUGGCGUCAGGACAAUCCACAUGCAUUACAGAGGAUCCGCUUACUAAACAAGUAAUCAUGAGACAAAGCAUUAAAUAUAAGACAGUUCUUGCCGUUGAGGAAAAUGAUUUACCCAGCACUAAUUUCCAGUAAGUGUCCUUUGUCAGGAUAUUAUUACAUUCCUGUACUCAGUCGAGCAGAAAUAUGAGCAGCGGGUGAAAGAGCUUCUGGACGGACGCAGGAUGGAUUUUCACUGGAAGUGGAUUCUGGAAGUCCAUGACUGGGCUCUGAACUCGAGGUUCAUGUGUGAGUAGUAAGUGAUCUGAUCGACUGAUUGAUGGCAGUAAAUAUGAAGAUAAUGGUGCAUAUAAAUGGACUAGAAUGUGUUUGAUUUCUACUUUCCUACACACUUCGUUGACGCCCUACAAAGCUUGUGUCUUUACACCCAUAAUUUCUUCACCCACAUGAAAAGACUAGUAGAAAUUGAAGACCCUGUUGUCCAACUAAACUCAACAGCAAGAGCUGAUUGAAGAUAUUCAGAGAUGUUUGAGAGCUGUCGGACAUCAAACAGAUAGGACGUCCUGUUCCUACCAUUGUAUUCUCUGCUUAUUCAUGAAGAACACGAAACCGGACAAUCAAAGCUUUUGAAAACCCUUCAAUCACGAGUGAAAUCUACAACUAUCUUCAUGCUCGACUCCGUGAUGUCUAGCUAAACAUAACAAGUGACACGAUGAGAGUAGACGUCUGACUAAUUUGGUCGUUAGGAGUGAAAUCAGGCCGAGAGGAGCAGGGAAUGAGCAGAAUGGAGAUUGCAGGAGUUUAAAUAGCUGAAAUUGGGCAUUUUACACUCUGGCAGUCGCCCAACUGAAUAAAUCAGUCUGAAGGGGCAAAACGACUGAAGCUGUGGGCCACGUGAAAUAUUCACUUCCCUGGGAACCAUCUUUGCCCUGACAGCUGGAAACGAGCCGGGAACAUUGAGAUGGCAGGGUCGAUGUAUGUCAGCGGAUGACGUGCACUUUUCUUUAUCAGUUCCCACAGACGCUCUGCACCAAAACACUGAUUUAUGCCUAAAGCUGUUUUGCCAUACACUGAAUUAGUAUGUAUGAAAUUGAUUUGAUCUUGUCUUUUUAUUGUGAUAAGUUCACGAUAAACUUAAGUUCAUUCAUUAUCAACUUCUAACUAAUCUAAACACGCUUCAGGUUGAUUCAGUUCAGCUUUAUUCAUUUGACUCAAAUAAAACAAGGAGAUUUAUCGAUGUCACCACAUGAAGAGCAUUUUAAACGGUUGAUUUAAGUGAAAACAUAACAGCACUCAUUUGGGUGAAGUUGAAUCUGGCUUACUGUAUCUCUCAUCUCCUCCCAUAUAAUAUCUCACAUCUUUUACUAUUAUUCUGUUUUUAAUCUUAGAACAACAGUUUUAUUUCAGGUAUAUUUCACAAAUGAAUUUCUGUUGUAACUGGAACAGUCGAUAAGGAGCCUGUUUGCACAUACAUUGCUGCAAAUCCAUUCAUCUUCUAUGCAUACAACGUGUUUCAAUAAUAUACAAGUGUUGUGUUGUUGUGUUUUAGUAGAAAAGUACAUCCAAGCGGCCUAAUACUGGACUGAGAAAAGUUUCACUGAGGGGCUAAGUAUUAGAAUAUGUCGGUUCAUAAAAGCUUUUUAAAGCUGCGUGACACACACACCACUGACACAACAAAGGAGAAUGAGCAUAACUGACUCAGUAAAUACGGUUCAAAUGAGUCAGAACACAAAUGAAACGACAGUUAUUGUUAAUCGCAUAACAAAAACAAUGUGGCAUUUAUCACAUGCAAUGUUUAUAUUAUUAUGGCCAAUGGCAAAAGAAGGGUUAACAGGCUUUUAGUGUUGAUCAAAAACAAGACUAAGAGGAUUAAUAAGACAAAGAAUAAUUUGACAAAUGAGUAUGUAAUAAUUCAUGAUCACUUAUACAUGACUGAAAUAAAUUCAUCAAAUAACAUUAUUAAUA